AUGGAAAAACCUCAGUUUAGGGUUUAAAACCCUAAUGCUGGCUGAAUGGAAAGAGUUCAGUUUAGGGUUUAAAACCCUAAUGCUGACUAAAUGGAAAAGUUCAGUUCAGGGUUUAAAACCCUAAUUCUGACUGAAAGGAAGAAUUCAGUUUAAGGUUUAAAACCCUAAUGCUGACUGGAAGGAAAAAGCUCAGUUUAGGGUUUAAAACCCUAAUGCUGGCAGAAUGGAAAGAGUUCAGUUUAGGGUUUAAAACCCUAAUGCUGACUAAAUGGAAAAGUUCAGUUCAGGGUUUAAAACCCUGAUGCUGAUCAAAGGAAAAAGUUCAGUUCAGGGGUUUAAAACCCUAAUGCUGACUGAAAGGAAAAAUUCUGUUUAGGGUUUAAAACCCUAAUGCUGACUGGAAGGAAAAGCUCAGUUUAGGGUUUAAAACCCUAAUGUUGGCUGAACGGAAAAAGUUUAGUUUAUGGUUUAAAACCCUAAGGCUGAUUAAAUGAAAAAGUUCAGUUCAGGGUUUAAAACCCUAAUGCUGAUCAAAGGAAAGAAUUCAGUUUAGGGUUUAAAACCCUAAUGUUGACAUGCAUGGAAAAAGCUUAGUUUAGGGUUUAAAACCCUAAUGCUGGCUGAAUGGAAAGAGUUCAGUUUAGGGUUUAAAACCCUAAUGCUGACUAAAUGGAAAAGUUCAGUUUAGGGUUUAAAACCCUGAUGCUGAUCAAAGGAAAAAGUUCAGUUCAGGGUUUAAACCCCUAAUGCUGACUGAAAGGAAAAAUUCAGUUUAGGGUUUAAAACCCUAAUGCUGACUGGAAGGAAAAGCUCAAUUUAGGGUUUAAAACCCUAAUGUUGGCUGAACGGAAAAAGUUCAGUUUAUGGUUUAAAACCCUAAGGCUGAUUAAAGGAAAAAGUUCAGUUCAGGGUUUAAAACCCUAAUGCUGACUAAAGGAAAGAGUUCAGUUUAGGGUUUAAAACCCUAAUGCUGACAUGCAUGGAAAAAGCUCAGUUUAGGGUUUAAAACCCUAAUGCUGGCUGAAUGGAAAGAGUUCAGUUUAGGGUUUAAAACCCUAAUGCUGACUAAAUGGAAAAGUUCAGUUCAGGGUUUAAAACCCUGAUGCUGAUCAAAGGAAAAGGUUCAGUUCAGGGUUUAAAACCCUAAUGCUGACUGAAAGGAAAAAUUCAGUUUAGGGUUUAAAACCCUAAUGCUGGCCGAAAGGGAAAAGUUCAGUUUAGGGUUUAAAACCCUAAUGCUGAUUGCAUGGGAAAAACUCAGUU
rnacentral:lncRNA from 1 species